GUAGGCGGCGAGCGUUGUCCGGAAUUAUUGGGCGUAAAGCGCGCGCAGGCGGUUCUUUAAGUCUGAUGUGAAAGCCCACGGCUCAACCGUGGAGGGUCAUUGGAAACUGGAGAACUUGAGUACAGAAGAGGAAAGCGGAAUUCCACGUGUAGCGGUGAAAUGCGUAGAGAUGUGGAGGAACACCAGUGGCGAAGGCGGCUUUCUGGUCUGUAACUUACGCUGAGGCGCGAAAGCGUGGGGAGCAAACAGGGAUUAGAUACCCUGGUAGUCCACGCCGUAAACGAUGAGUGCUAAGUGUUAGGGGGUUUCCCGCCCCUUAGUGCUGCAGCUAACGCAUUAAGCACUCCGCCUGGGGAUACGGCCGCAAGGCUG
rnacentral:rRNA from 1 species